rnacentral:rRNA from 1 species
AACGAACGCUGGCGGCAUGCCUAACACAUGCAAGUCGAACGAGACCUUCGGGUCUAGUGGCGCACGGGUGCGUAACGCGUGGGAACCUGCCUUUAGGUUCGGAAUAACUCAGAGAAAUUUGAGCUAAUACCGGAUAAUGUCUUCGGACCAAAGAUUUAUCGCCUUUAGAUGGGCCCGCGUUGGAUUAGCUAGUUGGUGGGUAAAGCCUACCAAGGCGACGAUCCAUAGCUGGUCUGAGAGGAUGAUCAGCCACACUGGGACUGAGACACGGCCCAGACUCCUACGGGAGGCAGCAGUGGGGAAUAUUGGACAAUGGGCGAAAGCCUGAUCCAGCAAUGCCGCGUGAGUGAUGAAGGCCUUAGGGUUGUAAAGCUCUUUUACCCGAGAUGAUAAUGACAGUAUCGGGAGAAUAAGCUCCGGCUAAACUCCCGUGCCAGCAGCCGCGGUAAAGUGACUAACUG